AUUGAACGCUGGCGGCAGGCCUAACACAUGCAAGUCGAACGAGUGGCGGACGGGUGAGUAAUGUCUGGGAAACUGCCUGAUGGAGGGGGAUAACUACUGGAAACGGUAGCUAAUACCGCAUACCAUCAGAUGUGCCCAGAUGGGAUUUGCUAGGGGUUUGGGUAACGGCUCACCAAGGCGACGAUCCCUAGCUGGGCUGAUAGGAUGACCAGCCACAGGGGAACUGAGACACGGUCCAGACUACGACGGGAGGCAGCAGUGGGGAAUAUUGCACAAUGGGCGCGAGCCUGAUGCAGCCAUGCCGCGUGUAUGAAGAAGGCCUUCGGGUUGUAAAGUACUUUCAGCGGGGAGGCGUUACCCGAAGAAGAAGCACCGGCUAACUCCGUGCCAGCCGCCGCGGUAAUAC
rnacentral:rRNA from 1 species